rnacentral:rRNA from 1 species
GACGAACGCUGGCGGCGUGCUUAACACAUGCAAGUCGAACGGAAAGGCCCUGCUUUUGUGGGGUGCUCGAGUGGCGAACGGGUGAGUAACACGUGAGUAACCUGCCCUUGACUUUGGGAUAACUUCAGGAAACUGGGGCUAAUACCGGAUAGGAGCUCCUGCUGCAUGGUGGGGGUUGGAAGGUUUCGGCGGUUGGGGAUGGACUCGCGGCUUAUCAGCUUGUUGGUGGGGUAGUGGCUUACCAAGGCUUUGACGGGUAGCCGGCCUGAGAGGGUGACCGGCCACAUUGGGACUGAGAUACGGCCCAGACUCCUACGGGAGGCAGCAGUGGGGAAUAUUGCACAAUGGGCGGAAGCCUGAUGCGGCAACGCCGCGUGCGGGAUGACGGCCUUCGGGUUGUAAACCGCUUUCGCCUGUGACGAAGCGUGAGUGACGGUAAUGGGUAAAGAAGCACCGGCUAACUACGUG